AGUCACUGACAUUAGAUACCCCCGUAGUCCCAGCCGUAAACGAUGUGCGUUAGGUGUAUCGACGACCACGAGUUGUCGAGGUGCCGAAGGGAAACCGUGAAACGUACCGCCUGGGAAGUACGGUCGCAAGGCUGAAACUUAAAGGAAUUGGCGGGGAGCACCACAACAGGUGGAGCCUGCGGUUUAAUUGGACUCAACGCCGGGAAUCUCACCGGAUAGGACAGCGGAAUGAUUGCCGGGCUGAAGACUCUGCAUGACUAGCUG
rnacentral:rRNA from 1 species